GUCGCCGCAGUUACUCCUCCGCGAAAUAAUGGCGACACGCCGCGGUCUCCUCUCCUUCGGCGAUGCCUGUAGGCGACGGCAAUGGCGCCCUGCUGUGCCUGUCUGUGCUCCCCCACACUCCCCCUCCUCGGCGAGCUCGCCCUCUUCCCCGUCCCGCCUCCUCUCCUCCAUCGCUCGCGCCGCGCCGCGCUCGUGGGGCGGAGCCGUGGAAGUACCCGGGGAAGACCGCGCGGCGCGCACCGAAUCCGGCCAUGGUCCGAUUGGCCGAGCAUCGAAGCGCGGAAUGCAUCAUCCAAACACCACUACUUGCCGUUGCCAACGACAGCCAGCGAUCCUACAGUUAAUCUCGGCGGAUGUCCUUGAAUUUGCAUGCGCUGGUAACCUCUGUGAAACUUUGUGCUCUGUUGGCUCUUCCUGCUCUUGCUCUUGAACAUCGGUGUGGCGUCUUCUAUGAUUGAAGAGGACAAGGUCCUUGUGUUAUGCCAGGAGAGGAAGCGUUUUGUUAGAGAGGCACUUGAUGGAAGAUGCGCACUUCCAUGUGCUCACCGUGAUUACAUUGUGUCAUUUAGAGACACGGGAUCUCUUCUGAGAAGAUGUUUUGAAGGAGAAAAGUCUCCUGCAACUGCAAAUGAGGGGUGUCAUUUUCAAGAGUCAGAAGAUGGUUUGGACAAUCCGUCCACCGAAACAUUGGCACAGGUGCACAAGAACCCCAAUGAUUUGUCUGGUGAUAAUACUCUAACAGAACAGUCUAUUGCGCAUCAUGCCUCAGAUAGUAUAGCUUCAGAAAAUAUUGCUUCAGCAGACAGGCUCAAGGGCAAGAGGAGAAUAAUAGGUGUUAUCACAAAUUAAAAUGAUGAAAUUCUUGCCAUUCCCCUAGUUAAUGUGGUCCCAUCAUCUGGGGCGGCUCGCACUAUCGACUCCCAGAAACCUUAUCCUGAAGUAAAGAAUGUGGCGAAGGACUUCUCUUCAUGCAUGAAAGAGGUUGAGAUAUUAUUCUUUAGGGCAUGUGAUUCUGGGAAACAAGUUCCAGUGAUUCUGGAAGAAGAUAAAAUCCAGUUCCGCCCUCUACUACCUGAAGAAAUAGCACAUGGAUCAAAGGGAUCAAAGUAUCUUGCGACAUUUCUUGUUUGCUGCAGGGAGGAAGUUUCUAUUACCAAACCUCCUCCUCAAGCUGUCGCCAUCUAAGAAUCCUCCUGGAACUAUUCUUGACAUCCAUACAUCGACGCUAGAUACUCUCUCCGUCCCAAAAUUCCUGUCUUAGAUUUGUCUAGAUACGGAUGUAUCUAACACUAAAAUGUAACUAGAUACAUCCGCAUUUAGACAAAUCUAAGACAAGAAUUUUGAGAUGGAGGGUGUAGAUUGUAGGCAUGGGAGACAAAGCUUUAUGAUGAAGUUAAGGCCAGCAGCUCCAUAUGCAGGAAGUAUGACGAGAAGUGUAAACAACUGAGAGACCAGGAGUCGCGAGGGAAAAAGGAAAUCAUCAUCGAUUUUACCCGUGCUGCAGUAAAAGACUUGCGCUCCAGAAUCCUAGUGGCCAUUCAGAAAAUAGAUUUCAUUUUGGCGAGCAUAGAAGAUCGAAGGGAUAAAGAGCUUCAAGCACAUCUGGAUGAGCUAAUUGAAAGUUUCUCCGUGAUGUGGGAAACCAUGCUCCAGUGCCGUCGGCGCCAACACGCGAUCAUCAAGUCACUAUCAGCGGCUGCAAACUAGAAACACCAUUCGACUCCGAGCCUCGACGCCAAGCCGCCCUCUUUCUGUCGAUCGAGCUCGGCAAACUAUGCUCAAACCUCCGAAACUGGAUCGCAUCCCGCAGGGCCUACCUGGGCAGCCUCAACCUGGGCCUUUUCGGAAAUUUCAGUGCAGAAAUACCUUGAUCUGCAGAAAGGCGUCUGUGCGGCUAAAUACAGGCUUCUGAGAUAAGCUUGAGGUAGUGAUCACUGCAGCCUGCGGGUGUACUGUACUGUAUAUCGGCUGGGUGAAACACUGCGACUUCAUCCUUGUCAAUUUUCCAAGUACAUAAAAGUAAAUAAACGGUCGCUCCUCGUGUAAACUCUGAACUUUGGCCGUGUGACGGUGACCGAAAUCUGUAAAAUGGCAUUUCUGUCGAGCGGAGACAGCAGAGUUGGAAGGCAGCAUGGCUUGAAAUGGCGAUGUGGAUGUAAAGAUGCAAUGGGUGUGUGUGAUCCUGUAAAUAUGAAUCGGCCGAUGUUAUAUGUAGUUACGUUUGUCUA